UUAAAACGGAACCCAGAAGUGAUUGC
rnacentral:piRNA from 1 species